UCGAUUCUAGAGCUCCAUAUACCUAGACGCAAAGGAUUUGUCGUCUCCUUCCUUCCAAAGCCAAGGUGUGAGCCGCUCUAUUAACUGUUCAAGAAACAAAUAGAGAAAGUGUUAACAAAUCGAGUUUUGCAACUUGAGGUACACCCGACUAGAGCAAACAUGAUUUGAAGAGAAACCCAAACUUACUGUAAUUUUCCACAAGAUCACAUCAAAUGGUCAGAGUCCUCUGAAGCCUCCUUGCAAAGAGGAUAGACAACAUCCACACUUAAAGUCCUUUGAAUAAGAUUACAAAAGUGAGGCACAAGAUUAUCAAACAA